UGUAGGCUGCAACUCGCCUACAUGAAGUCGGAGUUGCUAGUAAUCGCGGAUCAGAAUGCCGCGGUGAAUGCGUUCCCGGGUCUUGUACACACCGCCCGUCACACCAUGGAAGUUGGGGGCGCCCGAAGUUGCCUAAGAAAUAAGGUACCUAAGGCGAAACCAAUGACUGGGGUGAAGUCGUAACAAGGUAUC
rnacentral:rRNA from 1 species